UACGUAGGGUGCGAGCGUUAAUCGGAAUUACUGGGCGUAAAGCGUGCGCAGGCGGUGAUGUAAGACAGAUGUGAAAUCCCCGGGCUCAACCUGGGACCUGCAUUUGUGACUGCAUCGCUAGAGUACGGCAGAGGGGGACGGAAUUCCGCGUGUAGCAGUGAAAUGCGUAGAUAUGCGGAGGAACACCGAUGGCGAAGGCAAUCCCCUGGGCCUGUACUGACGCUCAUGCACGAAAGCGUGGGGAGCAAACAGG
rnacentral:rRNA from 1 species